AAGACAACCAACAGUUGAAUACAUUACAAAAGAAGCUUAAAAGAAGAUGCACUACAAAAUACAACAACCAAGUGCUCAAGAGACAGUCACCAGCCAAAGUAGAUUACAAAAUAAGCUUAAAAAAGCAACACCAAUCACAAAAUAAGCUAGAUAUCUUCUAACAAGAACAACCACCUUAAGGUAACCUCAUUGAACCUUUCUUUAUAUGUAUCAUCCCAAGCCAGUAGCUUUUAGCUAUUAGUAGUGGAGAACAACAAAACACAACAAAUUUAGCAAUUCUUCUCCACUUC
rnacentral:lncRNA from 1 species